GUCUACGGCCAUACCACCCUGAAUGUGCACGAUCUCGUCUGAUCUCGGAAGCUAAGCAGGGUCCGGCCUGGUUAGUACUUGGAUGGGAGAAUGUUUGGUGGGCUUCUAUC
rnacentral:rRNA from 1 species